rnacentral:rRNA from 1 species
AUGCGUGAGCCUCCCCCUAUCCCUGAUCAAUUAGUUGCUUCCUCUGAGAUGUGUCAAAUUUGCAAUCAUUUUGGGCAUCCCACUGCUAAAUGCCCCCAAGCCUUGUGCGUCAGAUGCAAGAAGAAGGGGCAUCUAUCUGUGAUUUGCACUGAUCUCCUCCCCUGGGAAUGCAUUCCAACGAUGUGUGCCUUCCAGGCCAAAGGACAGGGUUUCCAUUACAUUCAUGAUUACUCUGUUAGUAGUCAGACUAGUGAGAGGAUAGUUAAGGUCAUUAUCACUAUUGUGAAGGGGGAGAUCACCACUAAGCAGCUAGUAGAUGCGUUUGAGAAAUAUAUUGGACAGGGGUGGAGAUGCUCGGCACACUUGAUUGCCCCGCAACAGUAUGUGAUGCGCUUUCCUAACCAAAGGGAGGUGGAUAGGGCCCUGUUUGUAGAAUAUAUUCAUCUUAAGAAUCUGGGUGUGCUUGUGCGCAUUACACCAUGGUCUGAAGAUGUAGAGGCUGAUGGUUUACUGGAAGUGGCUUGGGUAAAAAUUGGCAAGAUUCCACCCAACAAACGAUGUGACAGAAACGUGGCUUAUGUUGGAGGGCUGGUUGGGGUGACUUUGGACAUCGACCUGUCGACACUCAACCGCCCCUCAUCUGUGCGGGUUAAACUUGGGUGCCGGGAGGUUGACAAACUUCCUUCCUCUGCCGAAGGCUGUUUAGGGGGGCGUUUCUAUCAUUUCCAAUAUGAAGUGGAAGAAGUGUUGGUGAGGAAUACUAUCCGCGAGGAAGAAACUGUGCAUAUACCACACUAUGCUGGGCAUGAUGUUGCUACUCCCAAGCGCAAACGGAAUGAAUCACCCCUGAAAGAUGGCAGCAAAUCUCCUGAUAGAAAUGACAAAAAUAAAUCCUCCUCUUAUCGUGGUGGCAAAGCCUGUCGCUUACCAUCACCUAGGGAUGAGGACAAACUUCCAGUGGACAGUGUUUAUUCUGAGAGUGAGAACAAUGGUGACAACAGUCCUCUGCUGAUUGAGAAGAUGGCCUUGGAAAUGUCUGCUGAAAAUCAGUCGGGUGUGUGCUUAUCCCUUGCAAAGGACGUUUAUGAGCGAGAUCCUGUUGAUCAAGCUCCUUUCAAUGAACAUACCCUACAGGUGAUUAGUCAUACUGAUAUCAUUCCCUCUGUUCCAGUUUCCAGCACCUCUAACUUGUCUCAGAUUUCCGAGGUGGUGGGAGACGUCGAACCUGACCUGAAGGUUUCCACGGACUACACGGUACAUCUUCCUCAUCCUGACUGCAAGGAGAUCAUUCCUACCCCCCUCUUGCACCUGAGUUGCAUCUUCGGUUCAGUCAGCGCAACACUCAUCUCCAGCACAUGA